AUACGGAAGGUCCUGGCGUUAUCCGGAUUUAUUGGGUUUAAAGGGAGCGCAGGCCGGUGUGUAAGCGUGACGUCAAAUACAGCCGCUCAACGGUUGUCCGCGUCGCGAACUGCACGCCUUGAGUACGCUGCAAGUGGGCGGAAUUCGGGGCGUAGCGGUGCAAUGCUUAGAUAUCACGAAGAACUCCGAUUGCGAAGGCAGCCCGCUGUCGCGUGACUGACGCUGAGGCUCGAAGGUGCGGGUAUCGAACAGGAUUAGAUACCCUGGUAGUCCGCACUGUAAACGAUGGACACCCGCUGUGUGGCCUGUAUUGGUUGCGCGGCCAAGCGAAAGCAUUAAGUGUCCCACCUGGGGAGUACGCCGGCAACGGUGAAACUCAAAGGAAUUGACGGGGG
rnacentral:rRNA from 1 species